GGCUUUUUCUAGGGCUGGCUCUGUUUUCUUUAGCCUAUCGCCUGCUUAAAUUGGGGCCAGGAAGUGGCAGGUGAGGAGGCAGCCCCAGGAAAUAGUCCAGGAGGAUUCGUGGGGAGGGGCGUGCUUUUCCCCUCGAUCAGCAAGCACCGAGUCCCUUUCAACACCCAGAAAUAGACGCCACUGAGCUCUCUCUCCUCUGACCAUAAAAAGCAGCUGGCCCUGUAGGGAAGGCUGGCGGCUGCAAGCUCCAGGAGGCAGGAGCAGGAAUAAAGGCUGCCUGAGGAGCCUGGGAGUCCUGCUGCUGGCUCGAUGCUGGAGCCAUUCAGUCUCCUGGGCAAGAAACCCACCAGCUGAACACAGGCCGAGUCUCGCAAACAGUCCUGCGGCCACGGGGGCUCGGGCCACUCCUCGUUUCUGAGCUACGCCCUGUGACUAUUUACUAAAACUCGCCAGGCCGCUGCUGCUCUGUGAUGACCUCGAACCCGAACUUCAGCCCGAACCCGAACCCGCGUCACACUGCAGGCAGCCACUUCUGUGACGCAGUUCUAGCUCUUUGCACCGGGUUUUGCGUGCUCGUCUGACAUGCGUUCGGGGAAACUGAGCAUCCGGGAGCCGGUGUAAGCCGUGACCGCAGCCUGAGGAGCCGGGCCCUCCUGCGGGGGUUGAAUGCCGGGUCCCUGGCACGCGGAGGAGAGGCGGUGGGAGGCGGGGCGCGGCCGGAGCGCUGCACGCCGCUGGCCUCUGCCCCGCAGGCCUGGCCGAGAGCGGGAGGCGCCCGGCUGGGCCCCACAGACACCGGGACUGUGGCCAUCAGGCCAGGGCCAGGGACUCCCGUCUGCACCCGGCCUCUAGGGCCCUCACUCCCACAGCGCCCCCCAGCGGCACAGGGCCUCCUGGACGGAACUGAAAGUCUGAAAGUCCUGCCGGGCGACGCUCUGUUUGCACGUUUCGUCCACGUCUGCAGUGCAUCGUGACUGCGCUCCUCCCGUGGCGAAGGGACUGAAUGUUCCCAGGAGAAAUGGAGUUCUCUCCAACUGUUACUCAUGAAGAGGGCUGAUCCACCAAAGAACAAAUUCUUGGGAGAACUCAUACAAAUUUUUUUUCUACAUAAUUCUGUCAAACUCCGCAAGGGCAGCCAUUGGUGUAAUCAGCAAAAAGCCAUCCUGCAGCUGGAAAAAAAUUACAUCUUUGAAUAAGAAGGACAAUGAAGGGGGUGAGGAAAUUCCAAGAUCAUCUCUUGGUAGAAAAGAGGAACACGUAGCCCUCCCUACCUGGACUUCUGCCUGGACCUCUGCUGUAAGCUUCAGUGCUGUACAGGGUGAUUGCACCUUCUUAAUUUUCCAGAGUCUCUGAAAGAGAAAGGAAGCCAAUCUUGCCCUCCAGGAAAUGGGGGACAAUGUUGACUGUCACCACUUUGUACAGCUAUUGCUUGUUUAACAACUGUUAUGGCUUGCAUUUAGAUGUCCCCCAAAGCCUCACGUGGUCAUAGGUGGGGCUUUUUCAGAGGUGGCUAAAUCUAGACUGUGCAAUGCUGGAAUUGAUUCAUGAUGCAAUGCUAAGAUGAAGGGCACUAGGAUUAAAGGUGUGAGUGCUACCCACCCUAAGUAGCUGAAUAAGAUGUAAGGGAUAGAAAGAACUGUUGUUGUCCCUUGUUGCUUUUGCUACCUUCUGCCCCAUCAUGAACUCUUUCUCUUCUAUGAUGCCUGUCUGCCUUGCCAGCCUGCCUUGGAGCCAGAUGCUUAUAGACUAAAAUCUGCAGAAACUGUGAGCUAAAUAAACUUUUCCUCCCUUAACUUGUGAAUAUUGGGUAUUUUGUCUCAACAAGAAAAGUAACUAAUACAGAAUUUGGUACCAGGAGUGAGGUUGUUGCUGUGACUAUACCUGACCAUAUGGUUCAGGAGUUUGACAAGAGUUUGUAAAGGUUCAGCGAUACUGGCUAAAAAGGUAGAGCUGGAACACCUUAGGUUAUACUUGAUGGAAGAUUCUGGUCAGAGCUCAAAAGACCAAAAGGCUGAUAGAAAUCCUUCUAGUAAGGAAGGAUAGGAAUCCUUCCAGUAAAGACCAGGAUUGAGAUAUUUCUGCUGGAAAGAAACACCUCAUUAGCUGUUAGAUUCCAGACAAUAUGUGUUACACUUUCAUAGAAAGUUUGUCUACAUUUUGCUCAUGUCCAGAGACUUUGCCUAAGACUAAGAUUAAGGGUGGCAGACUAAUGAAUCUUCCAGAAAAAAUUUUGAGGAAGUCUAAUGUUGAGUCCAUGACAUAGCUUCUGUUGGGGGCUUCUAGCCAGAUCUAUGUUGAGAAUCAAGACCAAAGGGGCCAACAGAAUGACUUAAAACAUUGUAAGUUUGGCCAAAAAAAAUAAAAAUCAAUGGUCUGUGGACUGCAAAGAUAGAGCAGAAGAGAUCUUACUUGCAGCAGCAAAAAAAAAAAAAAAAAAAACAAAAACCCAAAAAACAAAAGAAUUAAAAAGAUGGUCUAAGGACAUCACAUGAAACAGCAGGACUCCAGCCUUUACAGUCUUAAAAUUGCAAAAGUAAAAGACUUUGCUUUAAAAAGAGAGCCCAGACCAUGUUCCAGAAUGGCAGUGGCCUAGGAAAGCUUUAUUUUCAGGAUUUGGUUCAGAGGCACUGGACCCCUACAGCCAAGAGAGAAGGAAGCCCGGCUACUGCUCCAGCUGGUGGCAGACCUUGGCAUCAUCCACGUGGUGCUGGUUUUAGGCACAUGCAGAUUGUGGGAGUUGUGGUGUCAGGAAGGCUUCCACCCAGAUUUCAGAAGAAGGCCUGGGAGGCAAGGCUGUGUGCCCCUGAGAGGGCAAGGGAAACAAUGCAAAAGAGAUCCCAAAAGUUGAGAGAAGCCAAGAACAUGGAUUGUCUGAGGAAAACUAUAGAGAGAGCAGAGCUGGCCCCAGAGAGAAGCCAUAUCAGCUACAGCAAGUGGCAGUGCUGUACAGACAGAGCCACCCAAGCCCUUUGGAGUUCACAACUUGCAAAUUGCAGAGCAUGCUGAAAGUGAAACUGUGAGAUUUGAUGUUUGCCCUGCGAGAUUUGGGUCUUGCUUUGUUAUCAUUCCUUGCUGUCCUUCUGUUUGUAACUUUAAAAAUAGAAGUGUCUAUCUUGUGCCAUCAAAUGUUAAAAGUGUUUAACUUUCUUUUCAUUUGUACAGGGGCUUGCAGCUAAGAGUUUGCCUUAAAUCUCAGAGGAGACUUGGGUCUUGGACUUUUCAGCAGUGCUGAAACUGUCAGGAUUUUGUCACCUCUUAGAGACGGACUCCAUGCCUUUUGCAUAAAGAGAUGUGCAUGAGUCUAGGGGGAGGGGCCAGGGGAUGAAUGCUUUGGCUUCUGUCUAGAUGUCCGCCUAAAGGCUCAUGUGGUCAUACGUGAUGGUUUUUUGGAGGUGGCUAGAUCUAGUGUGUGUGACUCUGGAAUUGAUGCAGUGCUUGGCUCGAGGCCAUUAGGAUUAAGGGUGUGAGUGCUGCCUGCCCUAAGUAGCCUGGAUAAGAAAGAGCUGUGGUUGUCCCUUGUUGCUUUGGUGCCUUUGCUCACCAUGAACUGUUUCUCCUCUGUGAUACCUGCCUGCCAUGCCACCCUGCUUUGGACCCAGCCUAAAACCUCUACAAACUGUGAGCUACAUAAACCCUUUUUCCCUUAACUUGUGGGUGUUGGGUAUUUUGUCUCAACAAUGGAAAAAUGUAACUAAGACAAUGACCUACCGUUUUAAUGACUGUUCAGGCUUAUGACCCUCCACUUGGACUUACACCCAAAUUCAGACUUACAACAAAAGAAUGCAAGCAGCAGUGCAGCCUUAUGGUGGCUCCUUCUACAGUGCUGUGAUUUUUGCUGAUUGUACUGUACUGUAGUUUUACGUUCUGUUAUACAUUACAGUAGCAUGUAAGAGUUAUGCAAAUAAAAGCAAAGUCAUCCAGUUGGAGUUUCUUUUGACCAUUUCUUUGUUCAGAAAAGUGUAAUGUGCAUACUGUAUACAAUUCCUCAUUUAGGGACCAAGUCGUUUAAUGACCCAGUUGCAGAAGCACAGCUAUGUCAUUAAGCAAGGAAUGUCCAUGACUCCUGUCAGCGACCUCUAAUGAAGAGACCAGUAAUGUUCCUGAGUAUCCCACAACACAACAAAGAGGUAUGCAGUUAAAAAAAAAAAUUGUCAAUAAGGCCAAGUUGAAAAACCCUGCAUUGAAACCAUAAAUAGCUAAUACAUUUUAGAUAUAUUCUGGAAACUGCCAUUGAAAAGUGAUUAUAGAUUUGAGAGUUUUCAAGGAGUAUCUUUUAGUCUAUAGUAAACUCAGGAUACAAUUAAAAAUAUCUCUUUAGAUGAAAACGAGAAACACCUUUACUGUCCAAAUUCUUUGGACAGUCAUCCAUAAUUUACUGAUCUGUGAGUAGGUUUAGAAAUUCUGGUGGAACUUAGGAAAAACAAACCUGUCCCCUCAGCUUUAAUAGUGUGAUCCAUGUGUUGUGGUCACAGCAUUCUGAGGGGUGAGUAUGGAACAUUUGUGCUCCCACAGGGACUGUUCCCUCACUGCCUCAGUAGCAGCUCCUUUUAGGCAAGUGUUCCAGCUUCACUAAUUUUUGAAGUUUUUGGUAAUGUUUUAUUUUUUAUUAGUCCACGUUUGCAGAACAUUAAUGACCACAUUCCUCCCGGGAAAUCGGUGCAUGCACACGAUACAGCUUAAGUCUUUUUUCACCGCAUUCUCUCCUCCCUCCCUGCCUCUUUCUCCUCCCUUCAUCACUCCAUCCCCUUUCUCUUAGAGAAGGACCUGUCUCCCUACUUCCUGUUAUCUAUCUUUUAUUUUCUCUUUGGGUUUCUCAUAUAAAAGAAACCAUGCCACAUUAAAGCUUGUGGGCCUGAUUUACUUCACUUAACAUCAUGGUCUCGAGGUGCAUC
rnacentral:lncRNA from 1 species